rnacentral:rRNA from 1 species
AUUGAACGCUGGCGGCAGGCCUAACACAUGCAAGUCGAGCGGAUGAAGGGAGCUUGCUCCUGGAUUCAGCGGCGGACGGGUGAGUAAUGCCUAGGAAUCUGCCUGGUAGUGGGGGAUAACGUCCGGAAACGGGCGCUAAUACCGCAUACGUCCUGAGGGAGAAAGUGGGGGAUCUUCGGACCUCACGCUAUCAGAUGAGCCUAGGUCGGAUUAGCUAGUUGGUGGGGUAAAGGCCUACCAAGGCGACGAUCCGUAACUGGUCUGAGAGGAUGAUCAGUCACACUGGAACUGAGACACGGUCCAGACUCCUACGGGAGGCAGCAGUGGGGAAUAUUGGACGAUGGGCGAAAGCCUGAUCCAGCCAUGCCGCGUGUGUGAAGAAGGUCUUCGGAUUGUAAAGCACUUUAAGUUGGGAGGAAGGGCAGUAAGUUAAUACCUUGCUGUUUUGACGUUACCAACAGAAUAAGCACCGGCUAACCUCGUG